GGUGUGCGCGAAGGUCCUUUCGGCUUGCGGGAAGGACUGUGGGAGUGACCUCGGGCCAACGGCAAAGAGCUCUCCACAUGGGGCGGCCUUGGGGGCUCGGGUUCAGAAGAUGCUCACCCCAAACCCUGACUCUUGAUAGGGCUCAACAAUUGGUAGCUGCUGUGGCCCUUCCCCACUCCCGGGAUCCCUGCCCUGGGAGCGGUAGGUGAGAAGAGCUGAUGGAACCUUCCAGAGCUUUCUCCUCCCAGUCUCCAGUCCCCGAAGAGGUUCUCAAAUGUCGGAGCUCCAGAGGUGUGACGUGCUUUUCCUGGCAUGCUCUCUGAGAAAAUCAGAGUGGAGCUCAACCCACUUGUGAACUUCUCCCACUGGUUCAGCGAAGACCCCAAGCUAGCGCUUGGAGAGGCUGCUUUUCCCACAUCCGUGUCACUUCAGAGACUCGCUGGGGGACACGCCAGGUUUUAAUCGCGACGCGGCCGGUAGUUAGCCCGAGAACGUUGCAUAAGGAACGGCCUUCUCAGAAAUGUGUUCGUACCUCAGUGUGAGGGGGGCUGUUUAGAAGAGGAGGAAGAGGAACUGAGGAAAUAUACUUGGGUUCUCCAGUGGGUUGAGAGGUGGUCGCUGGGCAGUCACAUCUGUCGACUAUUAAAUGAUGGCUCGGGUACUUCUGGUUUCAGCAGUAUGGGUUUCUGUGUAAUUAAAAAUUUCUUUUGCAAAUUUCUAGAACCUA